rnacentral:lncRNA from 1 species
CGAGCCUAGUAAUGGGUAGGAGGUGGGGGAGAAGCGUAGAUGUAGACUGGAGGUGGGGGAGAUUUUACUGGUGGUGGUGGAGAGUUGUAAUGGUACGGUGGUGGUGGGGAUUUCACUGGAGGAGGUGGUGAAUGGUAGUAGUAAGGUGGUGGGGGAGAUUUGACUGGAGGGGGUGGAGAGUUGUAAUGGUACGGUGGUGGUGGGGAUUUCACCGGAGGAGGUGGUGAAUGGUAGUAGUAUGGUGGUGGUGGAGAUUUGACUGGAGGGGGUGGUGAGUGAUAAUAGUAUGGUGGAGGAGGAGACUUCACAGGUGGGGGUGGUGAGUGGUAGUAGUAAGGUGGUGGAGGUGAUUUCACUGGUGGGGGAGGUGAGUGAUAGUAGUAUGGUGGUGGUGGAGAUUUCACCGGAGGAGGUGGGGAGUGGUAGUAGUAUGGUGGUGGUGGAGAUUUCACCGGAGGAGGUGGUGAGUGGUAGUAGUAAGGUGGAGGAGGAGAUUUCACCGGUGGAGGUGGGGAGUGGUAGUAGUAUGGUGGUGGUGGAGAUUUCACCGGUGGAGGUGGUGAGUGGUAGUAGUAUGGUGGUGGUGGAGAUUUCACCGGAGGAGGUGGGGAGUGGUAGUAGUAUGGUGGUGGUGGAGAUUUCACCGGAGGAGGUGGGGAGUGGUAGUAGUAAGGUGGAGGAGGAGAUUUCACCGGAGGAGGUGGUGAGUGGUAGUAGUAUGGUGGUGGUGGAGAUUUCACCGGAGGAGGUGGUGAGUGGUAGUAGUAUGGUGGUGGUGGAGAUUUCACCGGAGGAGGUGGUGAGUGGUAGUAGUAUGGUGGUGGUGGAGAUUUCACCGGAGGAGGUGGGGAGUGAUAGUAGUAAGGUGGAGGAGGAGACUUCACCGGAGGAGGUGGGGAGUGGUAGUAGUAAGGAGGGGGUGGCGACUUCACGGGAGGAGGUGGGGAGUGGUAGUAGUAAGGAGGGGGAGGAGAUUUCACCGGAGGAGGUGGAGAGUGGUAGUAGUAAGGUGGGGGUGGAGACUUCACCGGAGGAGGUGGGGAGUGGUAGUAGUAAGGAGGGGGUGGAGACUUCACCGGAGGAGGUGGAGAGUGGUAGUAGUAAGGUGGAGGAGGAGACUUCACCGGAGGAGGUGGAGAAUGGUAAUAGUAAGGAGGAGGAGGAGAUUUCACCGGAGGAGGUGGUGAAUGAUAGUAGUAUGGUGGUGGAGGAGACUUGACCGGAGGUGGUGGAGAAUGGUAGUAGUAUGGAGGUGGUGGGGAUUUGACGGGUGGUGGUGGUGAGUGAUAAUAAUAUGGAGGUGGAGGAGAUUUUACUGGUGGUGGAGGAGAGUGGUAGUAGUAUGGUGUAGGAGUGUGCGUUGGAGGGGGUGGUGAUUUGUAAACAUACGUUGGAGUGGGAGGAGGCGGUGACUUGUAGACAUAGGUCGGAGUAGGAGGAGGUGGUGAUUUGUAAAUAUAGGUUGGAGUUGGUGGUGGUGGAGAUUUGUAAACAUAUGUUGGGGUUGGAGGUGGUGGUGACUUGUAUACAUAAGUAGGAGUUGGUGGAGGUGGUGACUUGUAGACAUAAGUAGGGGUUGGUGGUGGUGGAGAUUUAUAGACAUAAGUCGGGGUUGGUGGCGGUGGUGAUUUGUAAACAUAGGUCGGGGUUGGCGGUGGUGGUGACUUGUAAACAUAUGUCGGAGUUGGCGGUGGUGGUGAUUUGUAGACGUAAGUCGGAGUUGGUGGAGGUGGUGAUUUGUAGACAUAAGUUGGAGUUGGUGGUGGUGGAGACUUGUAGACAUAGGUUGGAGCCGGUGGUGGUGGUGACUUGUAGUAGUAAACCGGAGACGGUGGUGGUGGAGAUUUGUAAUAGUAUGGAGGAUGGUAAGGAGCCGGUUUGUGGCAUUCACCAUAAGGUUUCUUCGGUGCAUAAGCAAAGGACUUAGCAUAAAGCACAACCUCGUACUUUGUCUUUGAUUUCACAUGGAGUUUUGCACCUUUGUUACCCAUAUGGUAACUUGUAGGAAUGUUACAUGGCGAUCCCUUAGGAGGAGCAUGAAGCUUGGCCGUGCAGACUUCGCCACCGUA